rnacentral:lncRNA from 1 species
ACACAAAGGCAGCUUUGUGAGGCGGCGACGGCUCCGCGGCCGCCCCAGGACAGAGCGGCCUGGGCAGAGGGCGGGCCGGGGUCGGCGCCGCGGAGGCGGGGAGGGAGGGAGGGUUGGAGGGUUGAGCCAGAGACCCGGGACCCCGUCCCCGCACACCUGCCAGUGCCCCGUAGCUUCGGCCGCCGGCACUGGCAGGAGAUGAAAGGCUGCUGCCGCCCGGUCGGAAGGACAUCGGCGCCCCCCAGGCCCGGUCCCCGCCCCAGUUCCUCGGGCCUUUCCUGCUGCCCCUGCCUGCGAGGGCCGACGACACGGAGAACAGGAUCCUGCGCCCAACCCAGGUCCCCGCCUUCUUUCAGAGGCCCAGGCCUGGACCCCGCUGAGCCGCAGAUGUGCGAGCAGGAGCGCCAGAGCCCCGAUGCCCGCCCAGCAGGAAGCGGGCGGGAGAUGGUUCCUUCCUUCUGUCCUGAGGGGGAACCCUGCACAGAGGGACCAUUGAGGGCCUGGCAUUGUCUGCCUAACUCACCCAGUGCCUCCCUCCCUGGGUGGGCCAUGCGGGGCCUUGACAGGAUUGCCCUGGUGCCGUCUUGGCAGUGGGUCUGGGUGGGAUCCUGGGGGCAGGGCUUCCCUGAGUGCAGACAGCUAGGCCUCCACCUGCCCCGGCCUCCCACCCAGGCUCAGAUUUCCAGGGCAUAAGGCUCCAUUGUCCCAGCACUGGUGGAGGCGGCCUGUCAAUUCAGCCUUGUGUUUGGUGGUUGGGAAAUUCCCAGCCAUGGGGGGCUGCAGGCAGGAAGGGGCUGCCCAGGUGUCCUGCACCCCAACUGAAGGGACUCCAUGAGGUUGGUUCCUGGGCAUCCCCUGCUGCCUGGAGCUGUCCCAGGCUGGACCUCAACCAUUCAUCAACCCUCAGGAGCAGUUGGGUGAGGAGCACCAGAAAUUCAAUGCUCCCUGGCGCUGCAUCCCCAGAGCCCUCCCAGCCUAAGAAGCCCCAUCUUUCUGUCUCCACGCAUGGAGAACUGCAGCUGUGAGGCCCAGGACCCUUAGCAGGACAUGCAGAGCUGGGCAGGGACCCAGGCUCAUGCUCCCAGCGUGGGUGGGGAACACAGAGCCCUGCCCAGAGGCUUGAACCUGGCACCACAGGGGUCUGGAAUUACACAGAAGACGGGUGACAGCCAAGGUGGAUCAUGAACGAUCCUGGGGCAGAGUCCAGGGCAGCUCAAGG